GCGGGUGCUUACCAUGCAAGUCGAACGAUGAACCUCACUUGUGGGGGGAUUAGUGGCGAACGGGUGAGUAACACGUGAGUAACCUGCCCUUAACUCUGGGAUAAGCCUGGGAAACUGGGUCUAAUACCGGAUAUGACUCCUCAUCGCAUGGUGGGGGGUGGAAAGCUUUUUGUGGUUUUGGAUGGACUCGCGGCCUAUCAGCUUGUUGGUGAGGUAAUGGCUCACCAAGGCGACGACGGGUAGCCGGCCUGAGAGGGUGACCGGCCACACUGGGACUGAGACACGGCCCAGACUCCUACGGGAGGCAGCAGUGGGGAAUAUUGCACAAUGGGCGAAAGCCUGAUGCAGCGACGCCGCGUGAGGGAUGACGGCCUUCGGGUUGUAAACCUCUUUCAGUAGGGAAGAAGCGAAAGUGACGGUACCUGCAGAAGAAGCGCCGGCUAACUACGUGCCAGCAGCCGCGGUAAUACGUAGGGCGCAAGCGUUAUCCGGAAUUAUUGGGCGUAAAGAGCUCGUAGGCGGUUUGUCGCGUCUGCCGUGAAAGUCCGGGGCUCAACUCCGGAUCUGCGGUGGGUACGGGCAGACUAGAGUGAUGUAGGGGAGACUGGAAUUCCUGGUGUAGCGGUGAAAUGCGCAGAUAUCAGGAGGAACACCGAUGGCGAAGGCAGGUCUCUGGGCAUUAACUGACGCUGAGGAGCGAAAGCAUGGGGAGCGAACAGGAUUAGAUACCCUGGUAGUCCAUGCCGUAAACGUUGGGCACUAGGUGUGGGGGACAUUCCACGUUUUCCGCGCCGUAGCUAACGCAUUAAGUGCCCCGCCUGGGGAGUACGGCCGCAAGGCUAAACUCAG
rnacentral:rRNA from 1 species